rnacentral:rRNA from 1 species
AGUGAACGCUGGCGGCGUGCCUAAUACAUGCAAGUCGAACGGAGUGGCGCACGGGUGAGUAAUAUAUAGCUAAUCUGCCCCUUUCUGGGGGACAAAAGUUAGAAAAGACUGCUAAUACCCCAUAGCAAGGGAUGAGACUACAUCGUAUCAGCUAGUCGGUGGGGUAACGGCCUACCGAGGCUAUGACGCGUAACUGUUCUGAGAGGAUGAUCAGUCACAUUGUAACGGAGACACCGUCCAAACUUCUAGCGGAGGCAGCAGUAGGGAAUAUUGCGCAAGGGGGGAAACCCUGACGCAGCAACGCGGCGUAGAGGAUGACAAUUGACGGGGCGUGAACUCCGUUUGUUAGGGAAGCGGUACCUAACGAAGAAGCACCGGCUAACUCCGUGCCAGCAGCCGCGGUAAUAC